UGGGGAAUCUUGCGCAAUGGGCGAAAGCCUGACGCAGCAACGCCGCGUGUGUGAUGAAGGUUUUCGGAUCGUAAAGCACUGUCGGGAGGGACGAAUAAGGCUACGGCUAACAUCCGUAGCUGAUGACGGUACCUCCAAAGGAAGCACCGGCUAACUCUGUGCCAGCAGCCGCGGUAAUACAGAGGGUGCAAGCGUUGUUCGGAAUUAUUGGGCGUAAAGCGCGUGUAGGCGGCCAAGCAAGUCAGGUGUGAAAGCCCUCAGCUUAACUGAGGAAGUGCGCCUGAAACUACGUGGCUUGAGUACCGGAGAGGGUGGCGGAAUUCCCGGUGUAGAGGUGAAAUUCGUAGAUAUCGGGAGGAACACCAGUGGCGAAGGCGGCCACCUGGACGGAUACUGACGCUGAGACGCGAAAGCGUGGGGAGCAAAC
rnacentral:rRNA from 1 species